UACGUAGGGGGCAAGCGUUGUCCGGAAUCAUUGGGUCGUAAAGAGCGUGUAGGCGGCUCGAUAAGUCUGCUGUGAAAGUCCAGGGCUCAACCCUGGAAGGCCGGUGGAAACUGUCGGGCUAGAGUCCGGAAGAGGCGAGUGGAAUUCCCGGUGUAGCGGUGAAAUGCGCAGAUAUCGGGAGGAACACCAAUGGCGAAGGCAGCACUCUGGGACGUGACUGACGCUGAGACGCGAAAGCGUGGGGAGCAAACAGGG
rnacentral:rRNA from 1 species